rnacentral:rRNA from 1 species
GACGAACGCUGGCGGCGUGCUUAACACAUGCAAGUCGAACGGAAAGGCCCUGCUUUUGUGGGGUGCUCGAGUGGCGAACGGGUGAGUAACACGUGAGUAACCUGCCCUUGACUUUGGGAUAACUUCAGGAAACUGGGGCUAAUACCGGAUAGGAGCUCCUGCUGCAUGGGGGGGGUUGGAAAGUUUCGGCGGUUGGGGAUGGACUCGCGGCUUAUCAGCUUGUUGGUGGGGUAGUGGCUUACCAAGGCUUUGACGGGUAGCCGGCCUGAGAGGGUGACCGGCCACCUUGGGACUGAGGUACGGCCCAGUCUCCUACGGGAGGCAGCAGGGGGGAGUAUUGCGCAAUGGGCGGAAGCCUGAUGCAGCAACGCCGCGUGCGGGAUGACGGCCUUCGGGUUGUAAACCGCUUUCGCCUGUGCCGAAGCGUGAGUGACGGUAAUGGGUAAAGAAGCACCGGCUAACUACGUG